rnacentral:rRNA from 1 species
UACGUAGGUGGCAAGCGUUGUCCGGAUUUAUUGGGUUUAAAGGGUGCGUAGGCGGCGCGGUAAGUCGGGUGUGAAAUCUUGGAGCUUAACUCCGAAACUGCAUUCGAUACUGCCGUGCUUGAGGACUGGAGAGGAGACUGGAAUUUACGGUGUAGCGGUGAAAUGCGUAGAUAUCGUAAGGAAGACCAGUGGCGAAGGCGGCCUGCUGGGCAGUUGCUGACACUGAGGCGCGACAGCGUGGGGAGCAAACAGG